GAGAGAGAGAGAGAGAGAUGUGUGUUUGAAGAUAGAUCACAUUUACAAGUAAACCUACAAAAUCAGAGCAAGACAACAAAGGAACGAAGCAAAGAUAUAACUACACAAGACAAAGGCAUAGGAAUCAACACGUAAAAAAGUAAUGCGAGACAAUUGUGAACGAGAGAAUACAAUGUUAUGUUCAUGAUGUUCAAGGUUACUAGGAGAUUCUGCAAAAUUAAUAUAGGCAGCUGGAUAUAUUCAUAUCUGCAAUAGCAGCUAAAUAACCUGAUUCUAAGGCAAGUUCAAAAAUAAACACUUUCAAAAAUAUAAGUUGAACCCUUCCCAGAACAGUCUCCGAAAUUUGCGGGAAGCCUCCGUGUAGAGACCUUAAAUGUGUUAGGAAUAAGGGAAUGAUUAACAGAUAUCUUCUAUUAAGUGUUAUGUAUUCAGUAUAAUAAUGUUAAGUAUAGAAAAUUUAAAUAUCUUAAUGGAUAUUAAUUGAGUUCUUUCUCCUUUUUCCUUAGAUUUUAAACGUAUAUUAUUAAGUUUUAGUGAUAGGCAAAAUCUUAGUAGCAAUCACUAAUUCCCCAUAAAUGUUAUAUGUGGAGAUUGUAAAUGUAUACUGGUAUAACUACUUGAUAUAGAACGAAAGAACCCAAAAGGUAAGAGACAAAUUCUCAAGAAGACAAACAAAUUCAUAAAAGAGGAAAGGAAACAAAUUCUCAAAUUUUAUUCAUUUUCAAUUAAAAAUAUCAUAAUAAACUCUCUCCAAUAAAAUACCCAAAAGACAUAGGUAUUUAUAGUAUAGUUUUAAUACUACUACUACUACUAAUAGGAGUUGGAAUUCCAAACAAGAAAAUAUUAAGCAAAUUCUAAUUAGGAAUCCAAAACCAACUUAACUUCCUAAAUAAAAUAAAAUAC
rnacentral:misc_RNA from 1 species